GUGGGGAAUCUUCCGCAAUGGACGAAAGUCUGACGGAGCAACGCCGCGUGAGUGAAGAAGGCCUUCGGGUCGUAAAGCUCUGUCAUCAGGGACGAACGGCCGGUGGAGUGGAAAGCCACCGGAUUGACGGUACCUGAGAAGGAAGCCACGGCUAACUACGUGCCAGCAGCCGCGGUAAUACGUAGGUGGCAAGCGUUGUCCGGAAUUAUUGGGCGGAAAGCGCGCGCAGGUGGGAUCUUAAGUCCAUUUUUAAAGUUCGGAACUCAACACCUUGAUGGGAUAGAAACUGUGAUUCUUGAGUACCGGAGAGGAAAGCGGAAUUCCCCGUGUAGCGGUGAAAUGCGUAGAUAUGGGGAGGAACACCAGUGGCGAAGGCGGCUUUCUGGACGGUGUCUGACACUGAGGCGCGAAAGCCAGGGGAGCGAACGGGAUUAGAUACCCGUGUAGUCC
rnacentral:rRNA from 1 species